rnacentral:rRNA from 1 species
UAAGGAAUAUUGGUCAAUAGACGCAAGUCUGAACCAGCCAUGCCGCGUGAAGGAUGAAGGUCCUCUGGAUUGUAAACUUCUUUUAUCUGGGACGAAAACGGGAUUUUUAUCUCAAUUGACGGUACCAGAGGAAUAAGCACCGGCUAACUCCGUGCCAGCAGCCGCGGUAAUACGGAGGGUGCGAGCGUUAUCCGGAUUUACUGGGUUUAAAGGGUGCGUAGGUGGGCUUAUAAGUCAGUGGUGAAAUCUCCGAGCUUAACGUGGAAACGGCCGUUGAUACUAUAGAUCUUGAAUUAUCUGGAGGUAAGCGGAAUAUGUCAUGUAGCGGUGAAAUGCUUAGAUAUAACAUAGAACACCAAUUGCGAAGGCAGCUUACUACAUAUAAAUUGACGCUGAGGCACGAAAGCGUGGGGAUC